rnacentral:rRNA from 1 species
CACGGGGGGAGCAAGCGUUGUUCGGAUUCAUUGGGCGUAAAGGGCUCGUAGGUGGCUUUGUAAGUCGGAGGUGAAAUCCCACGGCUCAACCGUGGACACGCCUUCGAAACUGUGAAGCUUGAGGCUGGGAGAGGAGAUCGGAAUUCCUGGUGUAGCGGUGAAAUGCGUAGAUAUCUGGAGGAACACCGGUGGCGAAGGCGGCAUCCUGGACCGGCAUUGACGCUGAGGCGCGAAAGCUAGGGGAGCAAACGGG